GCUGAAGACGCGAUCGGCAGCGGACAGAACGCUGCACACCAGAUUUUCUUUGCAAUUGUGAUAUUCACCAUGGGCGACUUGCCAAUCAUGGUGGUCUUUAAGAUGGCAGCACCCAGAGUUGCUGAGGCACCAACCCACAAAUCAGACCAUAAUACACACAGGCUUCAAAUGUAUUGUACAGAAGCAUCCCAGAUUCCUCUAAUAAAUAGAAAGCCUGUGCUUGGCUCAGAACACUUGGAGUUAAUGACAAGAACUGCCCAGGUCAAG